AAAGUCUCCGAAUUGGGCCGAGAUUUUGCCUACCCCCCCAUUGUCAGACGUCCCGAGCGCGUCCCCGAAGUCGGAAUCGGCAAAGGCCACAGGAGGAUAUUUUGUUCUGGGUUAACCUGCUUUUCUACCUCGCAGGUUGUUUAUCAAUAUUGUGUAAUUUUAAUUACUCCUAGAAUUUCCGCAUGUGUUAGCAGUAAUUAUUUGAAUUUGGUCUGUAAUAUUAUUAUUAUGUUGGACCUGUAAACUUAAAUAUGUUAUGCA